UUCGUUUUAUUCUGCUUUGGACAUCGAAACUGUAUAAUACGAAUUGCAUCCAAUAAGUAAAUAAUAAUGAUGUUUCAUCACAAUUCCAUAUUAGCAUUUGGGAAUAAUGUUGCUUUCAGAACAAUUACAAUAUUUUAAGUCGUUUUUAAAAUAUGUGUGUGUGUGUAUAUACUGUAUAUAUAUACAGUAUGUAUAUACACACAUUUUAGGAGUACAUGACAUUGGUGUAAACAAGAUUUCAUAAAAUAUGUUGAUAUUGCUUGACAUUUACUAUGCCCCACUUCAAAACGGACCUCAGAGGAAAAGUGAAGGAGUUUUGGUUAUGAAGGGGCGGGGCUGUUUUCACACCCCAAAACGUCACAGUUACGUUGCAGGAAACGAGUUUCUACAGCUACCCUCCCCCACAUCACACUCGCUGACCAUCAAUUAGGAAACGCGCGCUUUGCUACCUGCACAAAAGGAAGGCGUUGAGAAGAGUGAGCGUACGAGUCAGCAUCAUCGAGAAAACCCCAGAAAGUGACAAAUACUUCAGAAUUAAAGCAGAUGGACAAUCCCACUGAAGAUGGUGAUUAUUCUGACUCAAGUCUUUUUGGAUCAGAUGAGGAAUACAAACCAACUAAGACAUCCUCUGAGUCGAGUGAUGACGAGGAGAUAUUCCAUCCAAAGGUAGAAAAAUUGUUCUCUUAUGAUACAUCCAGUGAAGACUCUACAAGUCAUCAGACAUAUGAAGCAGAGGAGCACAGUCAUGUCUGCAAUUCGUAAAGAAGCCCCAAAAAGGGAAAAGCAUCUCUCCAAAAGAGGGAAGACUGAAUUGGAUGAUUCGAGUCCAGGCGGGGACCCUGGCGGUCCGAUCCUCGGCUGCAGAAGCUAGCUCUUGGGACAUGGAAUGUCACCUCUCUGGCAGGGAAGGAGCCCGAGCUGGUGUGUGAGGCAGAGAAUUUCCGACUGGAUAUAGUCGGACUUGCCUCCACACACAGCCUGGGUUCUGGUACCAGUUCUCUCGAGAGGGGUUGGACUCUCUUCCACUCUGGAGUUGCUCACGGUGAGAGGCGCAGAGCAGGUGUGGGCAUACGCAUUGCCCCCCGCCUCAGUGCCUGUACAUUGGGGUUCACACCGGUAGACGAGAGGGUUGCCUCCCUCCGCCUUCGGGUGGGUGGACGGGUCCUGACUGUUGUUUGUGCAUAUGCACCAAACAGCAGCUCAGCAUACCCACCCUUUUUGGAGUCCUUGGAGGGUGUGCUGGAGAGUACUCCUGCUGGGGACUCCAUUGUUCUGCUGGGGGACUUCAAUGCUCACGUGGGCAAUGACAGUGAUACCUGGAGGGGCGUGAUUGGGAGGAACGGCCCCCCCGAUCAAAACCCAAGUGGUGUUUUGUUAUUGGACUUCUGUGCUCGUCACGGAUUGUCCAUAACGAACACCUUGUUCAAACAUAAGGGUGUCCAUAUGUGCACUUGGCACCAGGACACCCUAGGCCGCAGUUCGAUGAUCGACUUUGUAGUUGUAUCAUCGGAUUUGCGGCCGCAUGUUCUGGACACUCGGGUGAAGAGAGGGGCGGAGCUGUCAACUGAUCACCACCUGGUGGUGAGUAGGCUCCGAUGGUGGGGGAAGAUGCCGGUCCGUCCUGGCAGACCCAAACGUAUAGUGAGGGUUUGUUGGGAGCGUCUGGCGGAAUCCCCUGUCAGAAGGAGUUUCAACUCCCACCUCCGACAGAGCUUUUCCCAUGUUCCGGGGGAGACGGGGGACAUUGAGUCCGAGUGGACCAUGUUCCGUGCCUCUAUUGUUGAGGCGGCCAAUCUGAGUUGUGGCCGUAAGGUGGUUGGUGCCUGUCGUGGCGGCAAUCCCCGUACUCGCUG